rnacentral:lncRNA from 1 species
AGCACCACAGCCACCAUUAUUGUGCAUCUAGUUCCCCGGAGGGCCAGCACAGUGGCCACCAGCACCCACAGAACCACAGUUGGCCCAGCUGCUGCAAGCACCCAGCAAACCAGCCCAGGCUUUGCUGCUAAACAGCAUCCAGGGAACUGAGGGAUCCAUCGAGGGUUUCCUGGAGGCACCGAAGAUGGAGAUGUCCCAGGCACCCAGCAGUGUCAUGAGUCUGGUACCGGAAGAGACUACCUGUUUAACACACACACAGGAGCCCGGCGCUGGCUCUGAGGCCAAGUAGCUGUCUUACUAUGUGUGGAAUUUCUUUUUCACACCAUCAUGGGCUGUAUUUUCAAGUUGAUUCAUAAUAAACAAAAUUACAAAAAGAAAA